AUUGAACGCUGGCGGCAUGCCUUACACAUGCAAGUCGAACGGCAGCGGGGGAGAAGCUUGCUUUUCCUGCCGGCGAGUGGCGAACGGGUGAGUAAUACAUCGGAACGUGCCCUGUAGUGGGGGAUAACUAGUCGAAAGAUUAGCUAAUACCGCAUACGACCUGAGGGUGAAAGUGGGGGACCGCAAGGCCUCAUGCUAUAGGAGCGGCAGAUGUCGGAUUAGCUAGUUGGUGGGGUAAAGGCCUACCAAGGCGACGAUGAGUAGCUGGUCUGGGAGGACAAUCAGCCACACUGGGCCUGAGACACGGCCCAGACUCCUACGGGAGGCAGCAGUGGGGAAUUUUGGACAAUGGGCGAAAGCCUGAUCCAGCAAUGCCGCGUGUGUGAAGAAGGCCUUCGGGUUGUAAAGCACCUUUGUCCGGAAAGAAAUGGCUCUGGUUAAUACCUGGGGUCGAUGACGGUACCGGAAGAAUAAGGACCGGCUAACUACGUGCCAGCCGCCGCCGUAA
rnacentral:rRNA from 1 species